UACGGAGGGGGCUAGCGUUGUUCGGAAUUACUGGGCGUAAAGCGCGCGUAGGCGGUUUGUUAAGUGGGAUGUGAAAUCCCCGGGCUUAACCUGGGAAUUGCAUUUCAAACUGGCCGACUAGAGUACGGUAGAGGGAGGUAGAAUUUCCUGUGUAGCGGUGAAAUGCGUAGAUAUAGGAAGGAAUACCAGUGGCGAAGGCGGCCUCCUGGAUCGAUACUGACGCUGAGGCGCGAAAGCGUGGGGAGCAAACAGG
rnacentral:rRNA from 1 species